AGCGAACGCUGGCGGCAGGCUUAACACAUGCAAGUCGAACGGUCCUUUCGGGGAUAGUGGCGGACGGGUGAGUAACACGUGGGAAUGUGCCUUUAGGUUCGGAACAACUCAGGGAAACUUGAGCUAAUACCGGAUGUGCCCGUAAGGGGAAGAUUUAUCGCCUUUAGAGCAGCCCGCGUCUGAUUAGCUUGUUGGUGGGUAAAGGCCGUACCAAGGCGACGAUCAGUAGCUGGUCUGAGAGGAGAUCAGCAUCACUGGGACUGAGACACGGCCCAGACUCCUACGGGAGGCAGCAGGUGGGGAAUAUUGGACAAUGGGCGCAAGCCUGAUCCAGCCAUGCCGCGUGGAUGAUGAA
rnacentral:rRNA from 1 species